rnacentral:sRNA from 1 species
GAUGGAUUUAUAAAAAUCAAAUAUCUUAGAUGGUGGUAUUACAUUGCAAACCAAAAGAAUACAAUGGAUUUAUCAAACAGCAAGAUUACAUCAAUGAAGAAACACAUAGGAGCAAAUAAUUUAGCCAGGAAACACCUCUUGAACUAGUAGUGAUAAUCAUUUGCCUUCUUGAAGAUCUCAGCCUGGGAAGAAGCAGCGCCAUCAGAGGUCAUGGCCACGACGAUGCAAUCCUUAACCUGUUGGGUGGUAAAAGGGAAUUUCUUGUUCACAAUGGAGUUGAGGUAUGCAGCUGCUCCCUCGCGGAGCAGAGCACCAGUACCAUCAGUUCCAGUGUUUGAAAGUGCAUCAUGAAGAUUUUCUAGCUUCUUGCCAGUGAUCAAACUGCAAGCAGUACCGAGUGUCUUGCCAAUGUCGCCAAGGGACCCAAUAGCUGAGAUGAUAACAUCUGGAUGGUUCUUCCAGUACUCGCAGGAUCCACAGAAAUCAUGCUUUGUCGGAACUUCAGGGACAUCAGGUGUGCUGGGGGUGCUUGGUGUCGUGCCGUAAGAUGGUGUUGGUGUAGUGCCGUAAGAUGGUGUUGGUGUAGUGCCAUAAGAUGGUGUUGGUGUAGAGCCGUAAGCUGGUGUUGGGGUUGGUGUUGGUUUGUAACCACCAUCUGAUCCAUAUGAUGGAGUUGGGGAGCCACCAUCUGGUCUUCUGUUCAGACAACUCUCCCAGGCUCCUGCAUGAGCUCAGAGAAAGGAGCCCCACCAGGACACCACUGAUCAGAAGAACCUUGCUACUCAUCUUGGCUCUCAGUAUCUGCAGAGAAGACAGAAUGGAUGACUGAACUG